GGGUUGUGAGGUUAAGCGACUAAGCGUACACGGUGGAUGCCCUGGCAGUCAGAGGCGAUGAAGGACGUGCUAAUCUGCGAUAAGCGUCGGUAAGGUGAUAUGAACCGUUAUAACCGGCGAUUUCCGAAUGGGGAAACCCAGUGUGAUUCGUCACACUAUCAUUAACUGAAUCCAUAGGUUAAUGAGGCGAACCGGGGGAACUGAAACAUCUAAGUACCCCGAGGAAAAGAAAUCAACCGAGAUUCCCCCAGUAGCGGCGAGCGAACGGGGAGCAGCCCAGAGCCUGAAUCAGUGUGUGUGUUAGUGGAAGCGUCUGGAAAGGCGUGCGAUACAGGGUGACAGCCCCGUACACAAAAAUGCACAUACUGUGAGCUCGAUGAGUAGGGCGGGACACGUGGUAUCCUGUCUGAAUAUGGGGGGACCAUCCUCCAAGGCUAAAUACUCCUGACUGACCGAUAGUGAACCAGUACCGUGAGGGAAAGGCGAAAAGAACCCCGGCGAGGGGAGUGAAAAAGAACCUGAAACCGUGUACGUACAAGCAGUGGGAGCACAGAGCAAUCUGUGUGACUGCGUACCUUUUGUAUAAUGGGUCAGCGACUUAUAUUCUGUAGCAAGGUUAACCGAAUAGGGGAGCCGAAGGGAAACCGAGUCUUAACUGGGCGUUAAGUUGCAGGGUAUAGACCCGAAACCCGGUGAUCUAGCCAUGGGCAGGUUGAAGGUUGGGUAACACUAACUGGAGGACCGAACCGACUAAUGUUGAAAAAUUAGCGGAUGACUUGUGGCUGGGGGUGAAAGGCCAAUCAAACCGGGAGAUAGCUGGUUCUCCCCGAAAGCUAUUUAGGUAGCGCCUCGUGAAUUCAUCUCCGGGGGUAGAGCACUGUUUCGGCAAGGGGGUCAUCCCGACUUACCAACCCGAUGCAAACUGCGAAUACCGGAGAAUGUUAUCACGGGAGACACACGGCGGGUGCUAACGUCCGUCGUGAAGAGGGAAACAACCCAGACCGCCAGCUAAGGUCCCAAAGUCAUGGUUAAGUGGGAAACGAUGUGGGAAGGCCCAGACAGCCAGGAUGUUGGCUUAGAAGCAGCCAUCAUUUAAAGAAAGCGUAAUAGCUCACUGGUCGAGUCGGCCUGCGCGGAAGAUGUAACGGGGCUAAACCAUGCACCGAAGCUGCGGCAGCGACGCUUAUGCGUUGUUGGGUAGGGGAGCGUUCUGUAAGCCUGCGAAGGUGUGCUGUGAGGCAUGCUGGAGGUAUCAGAAGUGCGAAUGCUGACAUAAGUAACGAUAAAGCGGGUGAAAAGCCCGCUCGCCGGAAGACCAAGGGUUCCUGUCCAACGUUAAUCGGGGCAGGGUGAGUCGACCCCUAAGGCGAGGCCGAAAGGCGUAGUCGAUGGGAAACAGGUUAAUAUUCCUGUACUUGGUGUUACUGCGAAGGGGGGACGGAGAAGGCUAUGUUGGCCGGGCGACGGUUGUCCCGGUUUAAGCGUGUAGGCUGGUUUUCCAGGCAAAUCCGGAAAAUCAAGGCUGAGGCGUGAUGACGAGGCACUACGGUGCUGAAGCAACAAAUGCCCUGCUUCCAGGAAAAGCCUCUAAGCAUCAGGUAACAUCAAAUCGUACCCCAAACCGACACAGGUGGUCAGGUAGAGAAUACCAAGGCGCUUGAGAGAACUCGGGUGAAGGAACUAGGCAAAAUGGUGCCGUAACUUCGGGAGAAGGCACGCUGAUAUGUAGGUGAAGUCCCUCGCGGAUGGAGCUGAAAUCAGUCGAAGAUACCAGCUGGCUGCAACUGUUUAUUAAAAACACAGCACUGUGCAAACACGAAAGUGGACGUAUACGGUGUGACGCCUGCCCGGUGCCGGAAGGUUAAUUGAUGGGGUCAGCGCAAGCGAAGCUCUUGAUCGAAGCCCCGGUAAACGGCGGCCGUAACUAUAACGGUCCUAAGGUAGCGAAAUUCCUUGUCGGGUAAGUUCCGACCUGCACGAAUGGCGUAAUGAUGGCCAGGCUGUCUCCACCCGAGACUCAGUGAAAUUGAACUCGCUGUGAAGAUGCAGUGUACCCGCGGCAAGACGGAAAGACCCCGUGAACCUUUACUAUAGCUUGACACUGAACAUUGAGCCUUGAUGUGUAGGAUAGGUGGGAGGCUUUGAAGUGUGGACGCCAGUCUGCAUGGAGCCGACCUUGAAAUACCACCCUUUAAUGUUUGAUGUUCUAACGUUGACCCGUAAUCCGGGUUGCGGACAGUGUCUGGUGGGUAGUUUGACUGGGGCGGUCUCCUCCUAAAGAGUAACGGAGGAGCACGAAGGUUGGCUAAUCCUGGUCGGACAUCAGGAGGUUAGUGCAAUGGCAUAAGCCAGCUUGACUGCGAGCGUGACGGCGCGAGCAGGUGCGAAAGCAGGUCAUAGUGAUCCGGUGGUUCUGAAUGGAAGGGCCAUCGCUCAACGGAUAAAAGGUACUCCGGGGAUAACAGGCUGAUACCGCCCAAGAGUUCAUAUCGACGGCGGUGUUUGGCACCUCGAUGUCGGCUCAUCACAUCCUGGGGCUGAAGUAGGUCCCAAGGGUAUGGCUGUUCGCCAUUUAAAGUGGUACGCGAGCUGGGUUUAGAACGUCGUGAGACAGUUCGGUCCCUAUCUGCCGUGGGCGCUGGAGAACUGAGGGGGGCUGCUCCUAGUACGAGAGGACCGGAGUGGACGCAUCACUGGUGUUCGGGUUGUCAUGCCAAUGGCACUGCCCGGUAGCUAAAUGCGGAAGAGAUAAGUGCUGAAAGCAUCUAAGCACGAAACUUGCCCCGAGAUGAGUUCUCCCUGACUCCUUGAGAGUCCUGAAGGAACGUUGAAGACGACGACGUUGAUAGGCCGGGUGUGUAAGCGCAGCGAUGCGUUGAGCUAACCGGUACUAAUGAACCGUGAGGCUUAACCUUACAACGCCGAAGGUGUUU
rnacentral:rRNA from 1 species